GACGAACGCUGGCGGCGUGCUUAACACAUGCAAGUCGAACGGAAAGGCCUGCUUUCCCUUGUGUAUUGCGGGUACUCGAGUGGCGAACGGGUGAGUAACACGUGAGUGAUCUGCCCCCAACUUGGGUAUAAGCCUGGGAAACUGGGUCUAAUUCCCGAUAGGACUGCAGGGUGGUGCCUGUGGUGGAAAACGAUUUUCUAGUGGUUGGGGAUGAGCUCGCGGCCUAUCAGCUUGUUGGUGGGGUAAUGGCCUACCAAGGCGGCGACGGGUAGCCGGCCUGGGAGAGUGGACGGCCACAUUGGGACUGAGAUACGGCCCAGACUCCUACGGGAGGCAGCAGUGGGGAAUAUUGCACAAUGGGCGGAAGCCUGAUGCAGCGACGCCGCGUGGGGGAUGACGGCCUUCGGGUGGUAAACUCCUUUCGACCGCGAGGAAGCCACCUGGUUGGAAGGGUGGUGACGGUAGUGGUAGAAGAAGCACCGGCUAACUACGUG
rnacentral:rRNA from 1 species